CUGUCUGUAAUGAAAGUAGUGCCACUGCAUGUUUGCAGCUUUUAAAGACACAUAUUGAAAAUAUAUUUCUUAUAUCAAUUAUUUGUUUGGCUAUAUAUUGUGCCCCAGAUGUCUGGAGUGAUUCUAUCUGCUCUCAGAUAAUGGUUUAUGAUGAUUCUGCAUAUUUUUGUUCUUCAGGGGUUGGCGUUAUUGGGAAGCACUCUCUCCCUGCCUCCAUUUCCUGUCCUGUUUAAUCGCUUCCAGGUGAGAGGUGUUCUUCUGACCUCUUCUGGGAAUGCUUAUUAAAACUGUUUUCCUAUUGAUACCGUGGGUUUGAUAUUUACCAGAUUUGACAAAGUAAAGAUCUCAUGUUUGGCAUAAUAUUACAAGGGAAACAUAAGUGAAUUAUUUGGCCUGAAUGCUUCAGAUAUAACAUUGUUAAGGUGCAGGCUUGAAACUCAAUCCUUGGUCCCACACCACAUUUGGUUUUCAUUCUUUUUCUCGAAAAUUUAACAAUAGCACCCAGGGAUUAAGUCAUGAGGCAGGUCGCAGCCAAACCAAACAUCCUGCCUCCUACAGAAUAAUGAAGACAGAUGAAAAAAGGAAAGAGGUGUAAAGUGUACUUUUUUCUUUAUGUUUUCUCAAGGAGGCAUUUUACGCCGAGGCUGUCUUCGAACGAAACGAAGCCCAUCUAAAAAAGAAAAAACACAUAGCAAAACAAAACAAGGGAUGUUAUUCUUCUUUCAGCACAAACAGGGUUCCCGGUACAUGAGCUCUUGGGGAUUUUGCAGAAGUGAUGGGGCUUUCUCCAGAUCGCCUCUUAACCGCUAAGAUCGAGUUUCCCGCCAAGGGGGGUGUGACAUCGCUUCUCCCCCUGCAGAGCAGACCUACGACCAGAGCUCGCAACCGCAUCCAACGACACUUCGUCUCGCUGACCCGGUCACACUCUCCACACGCCCUUCUCGCUUCAUGGCCACACAAGGCCCGGUUGGCAAAGAAAAGGAUAAUAUUUCUUCAGCUGAUACCGCAAGCGGUUUUAAGAUGGAGCGAUUGUGGUAAGAGAAUGAGGUGUGGUAGGUGGAGGUGAUGAUAGGAAGGAGGGACUAACUGGGAAGAAAAGCUGCUGCGGUCACACACAUUUUCUAAGCCUUAUAAUUAAAGUGAGAUUUUCUCCGGCAUGUACAGUGGUACAAACUGAUUUGGUUUAAACAGUCAUUCUGACAGGUGAUUUUUGCCUCCACCUAUGCUGUGAAAGACAUGCAUCUUUAAAGAAGUAUUCAUCGAGAGCCAUCCGGUAACACUUGUCAUAGUCAAUGACAGGUGGAGGAAAAGAAAGUAACAAGUGUUCAGCAUAGCAUGUCUCACUUCAUAACCAAACGUACAUCAAAUGACGUCAAUUCCUCUUACUUUAGAUCACCGUAUGAACCAUCAAUGUCACUGAGAUCUCUCCCAGUCCUGCUCCGUAUGGAAUUCUCUUUGCUAGUACCUCUAACAGACAUUUAAUCGUAUCUCACGAUCAAAACUGAGAUUGGCUUUGACAAGAAUGAUGGAUCACUUCUCAAUAACUCACACCUGCAGAGGCCAUUUUCUUGUGCCACACUGAAACACAAUCGUCAAAUCCAGGAGGGACCCGCAACGUACAGCGGGAGAUACUCCUAAAUAUGUGCUCCUUCGGUCUGUAGCACAACACGUGGUUUUGAUGGGCCGAUUUGAUAUUUCCAGAGCUCCUUCAGUGAUCGUGGCUUCCCUGGCUUGAGGUGAACUUUUGCACGGGUGAUUUAUGCACCUUCUGAACUGUGCAGAGUUGGUGGAGGGCUCCUAUGUCAUCGUAGCCUGAGGCCUCAGGCACUUCCUGUUUAAGAUGACUUACAGUUCUCUGUCAGUCCUCUGGGCCCAUUUUAUUGCUGCCCAGCCCCUCGCAGGAGCAGCACCGGGUCUGUGCUGUCACUAUGACAUCAUCAGCACACAGGAAGUGUGCUCAUUCCUUACUCAUCAUAUACAAAGAUCGGCCGUACUUGAGGAGUGACAUCAUGGCAUCAAGUUCUCUGACUCUUCACACACAUAUUUCUUAUAUUAUUUUUAGAUAUUAACAACACAAAGAACUGCCAGAGGAAGCUUUUCCCACUGAAAUGCCAUUUUCUAAGGCUUUUACAUACUGUUUUCUCUGUGGUUGCCAUCCACAUCCAAAAAACAUCAGCAUUCUGUUUGUGGUUCUUGCUAAAUCAACUAAAACACAGUCAAGCCAAUGCCUCUCACUCCCUUUCCACAAACUCUUUACAUGCAAAUUUCAUUUUCAAAUAAGGCUCCUUUUUCACUUCUGAAAUAUCCAUCAAACAACAGCAUGAAACAUGAAAUAUUGAGUCUUUCUAUAAAUGUGCUGGUGGCUUCACGCUUUGAUGAAGUGACUGUAAUUGAUCGCCCUUUACACAAGACGUCCGUCAUUUGGCUGCACCAGUGGUUGGUUAGUGGAGGUGUUGGGAGCGUGGAUCUGUUAUCGUAGGGCUGAUGUAUGGAUGGCAGUCUAACACAAAGCUCUCCAUGGGAAAUCUCAGACAACGAUCGCAGCCUUGCAUCUUAGAAGAAAGUCACUCUCCCACUCACACAGACAAGUGGAUACUCAUUGAGCAACAAUCGGAGGGUCAUGGUUCUGCUGAGAAGUGCUCAUUCAGGGCUGUGGAGUCUGGAAAGCGGCGUGUGUCUGGUCUCAUGGACUGAGAGAUAGACGGAGCUCUGAUACUCCCACACGUUUUGGAGAUAGCAGGCAGAUUUCCUGUUCAUGAGAAGAAGCUUUGAUACAAGCUCUGUUGCACAAUGGCAUCAAAGGCUCAGUGAAGACCCACAAGAUAAAGAUACAGGACUUCAAAUGACUCGCCCUCUCUUUACUGUGUACAAAAACACACUCUGGAUGGAACUUCUCUGGUGACAUCAGUUUGACGGCUUGGACUUGACCAUAACAUCCUUAAACAAAUAUAAACAGUAUUAAAAGGUUCAGCGCAUUGGGUUUGAGGGCCAAAACUCAAAAAAAUUGAAUGUGGUCUUUGGAUAAGGUUUCAAAAAUAUAUCCCAUCAACUGAGCAGUGCUGGCAGCCAGAGCAGACCAAAGGGUCGAAACCUUGGAAGGAUGAGCCUCGCUGUGAAGUUUGGAGCGAAGCUGGAGAUUUCUGGCCUGAGAUGGAUCACCCCCAUGCUGAGAAGCACAGCAUAAAAAGUGACUUUUCUAACUCGAUGGACUGUUGAUAUUUUAAA